rnacentral:lncRNA from 1 species
CAGUGGCAGUGGUAGCCCAAUGCCAAGGGUUCUGUUAUUAUCUGUCCAGCUUAUUGGAGGUCACAUAAAAUAUCAAAAGUGACACCUCCCCAUCCUGACUUGAUGAUUUCUUCAUGGAGCAGUGGAAAGAACGUAGUCCAGAAAUUAGAAGGUUUUGGUCCAUGGCACAGGAAAUGUCCAGAAAAGAAAAUCUGUACAGUCAGAAAGCAGAUCAGUGUCUUCCUGGGGCUGUCUAUGAGACAAGGACCAACUGUCAAAGAGAACAAGGGAACUUCCUGAAGUGCUGGAGAUGUCCUACACCUAGUCUGUGAUAAUGACUGCACAACUCUGUACAAUUCUAAAAAGAAAUUGAAUUAUAUGCUUACAAUGAAUAAAUUUUAUGGCAUUUAAUUCACACCUCAAUAAAG